CAGUAAGGUAUUGGUGAAAGGAAAUAUAUCUCUAAGGCCAGCAGAAUUGAGACUUUCUAUUUGAUAAAAACGAAACAAAACAAAACAACAACAACAACAGAACGUUUGUUGAAAAAAUCUAGCCUGGUUUCUCUGAGAUCCAGAUCCCAUGCUAAUUUGCAUCUUGUCUCAAUCCUAUUCUUGAACAUUUUUUCCUGAUGAGUAGAUUCUUCAAACUUGCCUAGACUUUCCUUCAAGUUUCUCACAAGAAAUGCCAGGUAACCAGCUAAAUUACAAAAUGAGAACCUGAAGGAAACAGACACUCCUACAGGUCAUUUAAAGAAAAGAACAGUGACGUCAGCAGAAACUGAGGAUGGAUGGUAGAGACUGCUACUCCCCUUUGUUUUCUUCCCAUUUUCCUGCAGACCUGAGCCUGUUCUUCCUCCAUGAAGCUAUGGAAGGAAGAGAUCUUUUUCAAUGAAUCCUUAACGCUGAGGACCACCAUCACCAAAUUGACAGGCUGUCUGAUGAUUGUCCCAACUGCCAUGAUCUGUGAAAACUAAGAGUCUCUGAUGUUGGCUGUCCAUCCAGAGACCCAGCCUU
rnacentral:lncRNA from 1 species